CCUACGGGCGGCAGCAGUGAGGAAUAUUGGUCAAUGGACGGAAGUCUGAACCAGCCAUGCCGCGUGCAGGAAGACGGCUCUAUGAGUUGUAAACUGCUUUUGUACAAGGGUAAACCUGAAUACGUGUAUUCAGCUGAAAGUACUGUACGAAUAAGGAUCGGCUAACUCCGUGCAAGAAGCCGCGGUAAUACGGAGGAUCCAAGCUUUGUCCGGAUUAAUGGGGUUUAAGGGUUGCGUAGGCGGAUUGAUAAGUUAGAGUAGAAAGUUCCGAGCUUAACUCGGGAACUGCCUCUAAAACUGUUGAUCUAGAGAGUAGAUGCGGUAGGCGGAAUGUAUGGUGUAGCGGUGAAAUGCUUAGAGAUCAUACAGAACACCGAUUGCGAAGGCAGCUUACCAAUCUAUAUCAGACGUUGAGGCACGAAAGCGUGGGGAGCAAACAGGAUUAGAUACCCGAGUAGUC
rnacentral:rRNA from 1 species